rnacentral:rRNA from 1 species
GACGAACGCUGGCGGCGUGCUUAACACAUGCAAGUCGAACGGAAAGGCCCUGCUUUUGUGGGGUGCUCGAGUGGCGAACGGGUGAGUAACACGUGAGUAACCUGCCCUUGACUUUGGGAUAACUUCAGGAAACUGGGGCUAAUACCGGAUAGGAGCUCCUGCUGCAUGGUGGGGGUUGGAAAGUUUCGGCGGUUGGGGAUGGACUCGCGGCUUAUCAGCUUGUUGGUGGGGUAGUGGCUUACCAAGGCUUUGACGGGUAGCCGGCCUGAGAGGGUGACCGGCCACAUUGGGACUGAGAUACGGCCCAGACUCCUACGGGAGGCAGCAGUGGGGAAUAUUGCACAAUGGGCGGAAGCCUGAUGCAGCAACGCCGCGUGCGGGAUGACGGCCUUCGGGUUGUAAACCGCUUUCGCCUGUGACGAAGCGUGAGUGACGGUAAUGGGUAAAGAAGCACCGGCUAACUACGUGCCAGCAGCCGCGGUGAUACGUAGGGUGCGAGCGUUGUCCGGAUUUAUUGGGCGUAAAGGGCUCGUAGGUGGUUGAUCGCGUCGGAAGUGUAAUCUUGGGGCUUAACCCUGAGCGUGCUUUCGAUACGGGUUGACUUGAGGAAGAUAGGGGAGAAUGGAAUUCCUGGUGGAGCGGUGGAAUGCGCAGAUAUCAGGAGGAACACCAGUGGCGAAGGCGGUUCUCUGGGCCUUUCCUGACGCUGAGGAGCGAAAGCGUGGGGAGCGAACAGGCUUAGAUACCCUGGUAGUCCACGCUGUAAACGGUGGGUACUAGGUGUGGGGUCCAUUCCACGGGUUCCGUGCCGUAGCUAACGCUUUAAGUACCCCGCCUGGGGAGUACGGCCGCAAGGCUAAAACUCAAAGGAAUUGACGGGGCCCCGCACAAGCGGCGGAGCAUGCGGAUUAAUUCGAUGCAACGCGUAGAACCUUACCUGGGUUUGACAUGGAUCGGGAGUGCUCAGAGAUGGGUGUGCCUCUUUUGGGGUCGGUUCACAGGUGGUGCAUGCCUGUCGUCAGCUCGUGUCGUGAGAUGUUGGGUUAAGUCCCGCAACGAGCGCAACCCUUGUUCACUGUUGCCAGCACGUUAUGGUGGGGACUCAGUGGAGACCGCCGGGGUCAACUCGGAGGAAGGUGGGGAUGACGUCAAGUCAUCAUGCCCCUUAUGUCCAGGGCUUCACGCAUGCUACAAUGGCUGGUACAGAGAGUGGCGAGCCUGUGAGGGUGAGCGAAUCUCGGAAAGCCGGUCUCAGUUCGGAUUGGGGUCUGCAACUCGACCUCAUGAAGUCGGAGUCGCUAGUAAUCGCAGAUCAGCAACGCUGCGGUGAAUACGUUCCCGGG